rnacentral:rRNA from 1 species
UACGUAGGUGGCAAGCGUUGUCCGGAUUUACUGGGCGUAAAGGAUGCGUAGGUGGAUAUUUAAGUCAGAUGUGAAAUACCCGAGCUUAACUUGGGUGCUGCAUUUGAAACUGGAUAUCUAGAGUGCAGGAGAGGUAAGUGGAAUUCCUAGUGUAGCGGUGAAAUGCGUAGAGAUUAGGAAGAACACCAGUGGCGAAGGCGACUUACUGGACUGUAACUGACACUGAGGCAUGAAAGCGUGGGGGAGCAAACAGGAUUAGAUACCCCG